AUGCAAGUCGAGGGGCAGCAUGAUUUGCAUCAAUACAGAUUGAUGGCGACCGGCGCACGGGUGAGUAACGCGUAUGCAACUUACCUAUCAGAGGGGGAUAGCCCGGCGAAAGUCGGAUUAAUACCCCAUAAAACAGGGGUCCCGCAUGGGAAUAUUUAUUAAAGAUUCAUCGCUGAUAGAUAGGCAUGCGUUCCAUUAGGCAGUUGGCGGGGUAACGGCCCACCAAACCGACGAUGGAUAGGGGUUCUGAGAGGAAGGUCCCCCACAUUGGUACUGAGACACGGACCAAACUCCUACGGGAGGCAGCAGUGAGGAAUAUUGGUCAAUGGCCGAGAGGCUGAACCAGCCAAGUCGCGUGAAGGAAGAAGGAUCUAUGGUUUGUAAACUUCUUUUAUAGGGGAAUAAGGUGGAGGACGUGUCCUUUUUUGUAUGUACCCUAUGAAUAAGCAUCGGCUAACUCCGUGCCAGCAGCCGCGGUAAUACGGAGGAUGCGAGCGUUAUCCGGAUUUAUUGGGUUUAAAGGGUGCGUAGGUGGUGAUUUAAGUCAGCGGUGAAAGUUUGUGGCUCAACCAUAAAAUUGCCGUUGAAACUGGGUUACUUGAGUGUGUUUGAGGUAGGCGGAAUGCGUGGUGUAGCGGUGAAAUGCAUAGAUAUCACGCAGAACUCCGAUUGCGAAGGCAGCUUACUAAACCAUAACUGACACUGAAGCACAAAAGCGUGGGGAUCAAACAGGAUUAGAUACCCUGGUAGUCCACGCAGUAAACGAUGAUUACUAGGAGUUUGCGAUACAAUGUAAGCUCUACAGCGAAAGCGUUAAGUAAUCCACCUGGGGAGUACGCCGGCAACGGUGAAACUCAAAGGAAUUGACGGGGGCCCGCACAAGCGGAGGAACAUGUGGUUUAAUUCGAUGAUACGCGAGGAACCUUACCCGGGUUUGAACGUAGUCUGACCGGAGUGGAAACACUCUUUCUAGCAAUAGCAGAUUACGAGGUGCUGCAUGGUUGUCGUCAGCUCGUGCCGUGAGGUGUCGGCUUAAGUGCCAUAACGAGCGCAACCCUUAUCACUAGUUACUAACAGGUGAAGCUGAGGACUCUGGUGAGACUGCCAGCGUAAGCUGUGAGGAAGGUGGGGAUGACGUCAAAUCAGCACGGCCCUUACAUCCGGGGCGACACACGUGUUACAAUGGCAUGGACAAAGGGCAGCUACCUGGUGACAGGAUGCUAAUCUCCAAACCAUGUCUCAGUUCGGAUCGGAGUCUGCAACUCGACUCCGUGAAGCUGGAUUCGCUAGUAAUCGCGCAUCAGCCAUGGCGCGGUGAAUACGUUCCCGGGCCUUGUACACACCGCCCGUCAAGCCAUGGGAGCCGGGGGUACCUGAAGUCCGUAACCGCAAGGAUCGGCCUAGGGUAAAACUGGUGACUGGGGCUAAGUC
rnacentral:rRNA from 1 species